CACGAAACCGACAAACGUUAUUCGGAAUUAUUGGGCUUAAAGGGUGCGUAGGCGGUGCGGUAAGGGCGGUGUGAAAGCCCACGGCUCAACCGUGGAAUUGCGCUGCAUACUGCCGUGCUGGAGUGAGACAGGGGUAAGCGGAACUGAUGGUGGAGCGGUGAUAUGCGAUGAUAUCAUCAGGAACUCCGGUGGCGAAAGCGGCUUACUGGGUCUUAUCUGACGCUGAGGCACGAAAGCUAGGGUAUUGAACGGG
rnacentral:rRNA from 1 species